rnacentral:rRNA from 1 species
GACGAACGCUGGCGGCGUGCUUAACACAUGUAAGUCGAACGGAAAGGCCCUGCUUUUGUGGGGUGCUCGAGUGGCGAACGGGUGAGUAACACGUGAGUAACCUGCCCUUGACUUUGGGAUAACUUCAGGAAACUGGGGCUAAUACCGGAUAGGAGCUCCUGCUGCAUGGUGGGGGUUGGAAAGUUUCGGCGGUUGGGGAUGGACUCGCGGCUUAUCAGCUUGUUGGUGGGGUAGUGGCUUACCAAGGCUUUGACGGGUAGCCGGCCUGAGAGGGUGACCGGCCACAGUGGGACUGAGAUACGGCCCAGACUCCAACGGGAGGCAGCAGUGGGGAAUAUUGCAAAAUGGGCGGAAGCCUGAUGCAGCAACGCCGCGUGCGGGAUGACGGCCUUCGGGUUGUAAACCGCUUUCGCCUGUGACGAAGCGUGAGUGACGGUAAUGGGUAAAGAAGCACCGGCUAACUACGUG